AUUGAACGCUGGCGGCAUGCUUUACACAUGCAAGUCGAACGGUAACAGGCCGCAAGGUGCUGACGAGUGGCGAACGGGUGAGUAAUGCAUCGGAACGUGCCCAGUCGUGGGGGAUAACGCAGCGAAAGCUGCGCUAAUACCGCAUACGAUCUAUGGAUGAAAGCGGGGGACUGGAAGGCCUCGCGCGAUUGGAGCAGCCGAUGUCAGAUUAGGUAGUUGGUGGGGUAAAGGCUCACCAAGCCAACGAUCUGUAGCUGGUCUGAGAGGACGACCAGCCACACUGGGACUGAGACACGGCCCAGACUCCUACGGGAGGCAGCAGUGGGGAAUUUUGGACAAUGGGCGCAAGCCUGAUCCAGCAAUGCCGCGUGCAGGAAGAAGGCCUUCGGGUUGUAAACUGCUUUUGUACGGAACGAAACGGUCCUGGUUAAUACCUGGGGCUAAUGACGGUACCGUAAGAAUAAGCACCGGCUAACUACGUGCCAGCAGCCGCCGUAAGAC
rnacentral:rRNA from 1 species